rnacentral:tRNA from 1 species
GGGGGUGUAGCUCAGCUGGGAGAGCACCUGCCUUGCAAGCAGGGGGUCAGCGGUUCGAGCCCGCUCAUCUCCACCA